rnacentral:rRNA from 1 species
GCAGUCGAGCGGUAGCACAGAGAGCUUGCUCUCGGGUGACGAGCGGCGGACGGGUGAGUAAUGUCUGGGAAACUGCCUGAUGGAGGGGGAUAACUACUGGAAACGGUAGCUAAUACCGCAUAAUGUCGCAAGACCAAAGUGGGGGACCUUCGGGCCUCAUGCCAUCAGAUGUGCCCAGAUGGGAUUAGCUAGUAGGUGGGGUAACGGCUCACCUAGGCGACGAUCCCUAGCUGGUCUGAGAGGAUGACCAGCCACACUGGAACUGAGACACGGUCCAGACUCCUACGGGAGGCAGCAGUGGGGAAUAUUGCACAAUGGGCGCAAGCCUGAUGCAGCCAUGCCGCGUGUGUGAAGAAGGCCUUCGGGUUGUAAAGCACUUUCAGCGGGGAGGAAGGCGAUAAGGUUAAUAACCUUGUCGAUUGACGUUACCCGCAGAAGAAGCACCGGCUAACUCCGUGCCAGCAGCCGCGGUAAUACGGAGGGUGCAAGCGUUAAUCGGAAUUACUGGGCGUAAAGCGCACGCAGGCGGUCUGUCAAGUCGGAUGUGAAAUCCCCGGGCUCAACCUGGGAACUGCAUUCGAAACUGGCAGGCUAGAGUCUUGUAGAGGGGGGUAGAAUUCCAGGUGUAGCGGUGAAAUGCGUAGAGAUCUGGAGGAAUACCGGUGGCGAAGGCGGCCCCCUGGACAAAGACUGACGCUCAGGUGCGAAAGCGUGGGGAGCAAACAGGAUUAGAUACCCUGGUAGUCCACGCCGUAAACGAUGUCGAUUUGGAGGUUGUGCCCUUGAGGCGUGGCUUCCGGAGCUAACGCGUUAAAUCGACCGCCUGGGGAGUACGGCCGCAAGGUUAAAACUCAAAUGAAUUGACGGGGGCCCGCACAAGCGGUGGAGCAUGUGGUUUAAUUCGAUGCAACGCGAAGAACCUUACCUGGUCUUGACAUCCACAGAACUUACCAGAGAUGCUUUGGUGCCUUCGGGAACUGUGAGACAGGUGCUGCAUGGCUGUCGUCAGCUCGUGUUGUGAAAUGUUGGGUUAAGUCCCGCAACGAGCGCAACCCUUAUCCUUUGUUGCCAGCGGUCCGGCCGGGAACUCAAAGGAGACUGCCAGUGAUAAACUGGAGGAAGGUGGGGAUGACGUCAAGUCAUCAUGGCCCUUACGACCAGGGCUACACACGUGCUACAAUGGCAUAUACAAAGAGAAGCGACCUCGCGAGAGCAAGCGGACCUCAUAAAGUAUGUCGUAGUCCGGAUUGGAGUCUGCAACUCGACUCCAUGAAGUCGGAAUCGCUAGUAAUCGUAGAUCAGAAUGCUACGGUGAAUACGUUCCCGGGCCUUGUACACACCGCCCGUCACACCAUGGGAGUGGGUUGCAAAAGAAGUAGGUAGCUUAACCUUCGGGAGGGCGCUUACCACUUUGUGAUUCAUGA